CGUGCCAUUGUCUAACAAACAAGGAUAAAAUACAUUCUUGAUCAUUGAUUCACAUCAAUGGAGCGUCAAUGAAACCUUCCCAGACCUUAUUGUUUAUACUGAAAGAGAGCGCCAGGGGAAGGGAGAAUAAAUAUAUAAUUGGAGGAGGUUGGAUUUAAUAAUAGCUCAAGCAAAUUUUUGCAGUUAAUGGAGAACAAAGGCCUGCUCAUAUGCAUAUACAGUAAAAAUUGAAUUGAGGUCAGGGACGUAGAGGGGAAGUGUCUGUGUAAGGUUUAUGACUUUGACAAGGAAAUCACAAUUGUAGCACUCAUAAAUAGAACCUGCAUGACUCAAACGGUAAGACUCUCUGUAAAAAUUUGAUAAGCAUUCUUUACGGAGGAAUUAUUAUAAAGCCAAAGUUCUUAAUAGGAUUCAACCCAAAGAUCUAUAAAGUAAAAUUUCUUGAUAGGAUGUAGAAACAGAGGAGGAAAUGGAUGAAUAUAUUUUAUUUUCCAGAAAAAUAUAUUUUAUUUGCUGCACUUUUAUUUUGAUAUCUAAGAGUUAUUUUUAUUCAAUUCGGUUAAAGGUCUACAAUUUCAAUUGUAUUCAUGGUAAUAGAAGUUUUUUUAUGCAGAAGGUUCCAACGUGUGAUGGGAAUAUGAAUAUUAUGCCUAUAUUUGGGAUGAUCGGUGUUUAAGCAUGAAGGGAGGAGUUGAAUGAUCCGUUAGUUUCAAGGGUAUGUUUGAGCCAAAAAUAAAACAUUAAGGCUAUUUUUAGACCAAAAUAUUAACAGAGGGUAUUUUUGACCCAUUGUCAAUACGUUAGGGGCAUUUUUGGCCUUUUUCCGUUCAUAGAAAUACUCCAAGUCUCUUUCACACUCUGCUGCAAAACUAAUCCCUUAACCACACGACGAACCCAAAAAUUCUUAGGCAUGACACUUGAAUUCUUGAACCCACUAGAACCAUUGUUGAGAUUCGCUCACUCUAAUCCAGUCCCGAUUACGUAACCAAACAACUAGUGCUCCGUUAGCACAUGAAUACUCCAAAGAAGCAACCGGAUGAAUCUCUUUCCUUGUACAUCACAUCCACAAGAAGCAUAAACUCUGUGUCAUCCCAAAAUCUGCACAUGAAUCGAUAAGGCGAAAUGUAGCACGCAUUCAUUAAAUUCCUUGCCCGAAUUACCCUUGAUGUUUUCUUCCCUUAGUCAUAACUAAUCCAACAAUGUACCGAUAAUCCGAUACUUCCAAGGCACAUAACCAUGUGACCUAAUAAUAGGCGGUAGGCUCUCCCACUUAGCUUUACACUACAAUCACCUAAAUCCAGAACCCAAAAUGACUCCUCCUUCUCUACUACGAUGAUCUUGCACCAUUACUUAGCCAAAUUUCUCAUAAAUUCUUAUUGCACUAAUCACGAUACAUCCCAAAUUAUCAGCCUCAAUCGCACACUCGACCUCUUGACAGUCGUACCAUCUUCUUCAAGCUAUCCAAACUCACACCGCAGUACAUACACCCCGUUGGAUAGAAGGUAGAACUCUUUAUUGAAAAUCACGCAACUCCUAACAUCCACACAGGAGAUAGCCCACCUGUGUAACCCCAUAUCGAUAUCUUCCAAUGACAUUGCCAUGGUUACAACCACCACAAAAUCGGUUAAUCCUCCUGAGCCCACACUCGCCCACUAGUUGUAAACGCCCGUUCAUUUCCAUUACCAUCAACUGAAGAUCCAACAAUGCGUUCAAAACUCGAAGUCAUAUUACAUCCUAAAACGAUAAUCAAGCAUUCCUAUUCCUCUUCAUUCCAAGCAAACUCCUUUCCGUCAUAUUCAAACAUCCUAAGUAUAGAAGCCACCAUCUCAAAUGAAAUACUAAGACUUAGCCUUCUACCGAGGCAAACCACUCGAUCUCUGCCGCUCAAACUCGACCUACUUAACAAUUCAACCACCACAAUAUAUCCAGUAAUGCCCCAUCUUCCACCACUAAUCAUGCUGCCCCACAUCACAAUCCACCUCCGUAGCACCCGAAUAAUAAAUUUCCACUAAUGGAGACAUCUUUUCUUUUCAGCAGUCGCAAUACUCUGUCAUCUUCGGUAACUGCUUCUUAGGUACCAUUUCACAACACCUUGCCCCGAAGACAAACAAAUAAAGACCAUCACACCGACGAGCCUUAAUUCAUUCAAACAAGGAAGACAACACCAUAUCACGACCAAGAAUUCCACCAAAUUCGAAAAUACCCCAUCUCAGAACUCCGUCAACCAACACCUGAACAUCCGUAGUCCAAUUGCCUCUCCUUCGCUGGGACUAAAUGCCGAAUCUCUAAACCAUGAACCCAGUAAUCCUACUUUUGAGUCAUUCAUUGCCGCAAUACAUAAAUAAUUAUCCAACCAUUUACCCCAGCACUGCACAAUAACAAUGCAUGAAUAUUACAAUACACUAUACAUAGCCUCGAAACCGUAGGCAACACUAACACUGGCUGAAAUGACUAAACACCCCUCCAUGCAGUGGCGAUAAUCGUCCGCCCAAGUAUGCAGGGAAAACAUCUUGUACCACAACUACGACACCACUACAAUUCCUUGAUGCCCAAUUGAUAACAGAAGCUCAACAUCGCGUUAUAAUGAGUAAGAAGGAAAUGAAGACAUAAGCUUCAGUGAAACUAAAUCGUAUGACGAGGUAUCAAGAACGGAAGUUAUCUUAACAACAUUGUAGCCUCUCGAAGAUACAGACAUCUAUAUACUGAUCCACAAGACUCUACUAGACUUGCUAAUGACUCGUAAGACCCAAGUGAACCUAGAGCUCUGAUACCAAACUGUCAUGACCCUGUUACCACCAUAGGUCGUGAUGGUGUCCAACGUCGUCGUUAGGCAAUCCAACAGUGAACCAUCCAUUUUAUUAUCCAUUUUAAAAUUUUAAAAUCAGGAAUAUCAUUAAAUAAAUAGAAUAAAAUCUAGCACUCAUAGAGACCUGUGCUUUUCCUUACCAAAUUUUUGAGUAUAAAUAAAUCAUAAAGUGAAAUGAUAAUAAGAACAUAAAAUACAAUUAUGAACAUCCACUUGGAACUCCCAAAACCCGGUGUCAUAAAUGCAUGAGCAUCUACUGGAAUGUACAAUACUACUCCAAUAGCUGUUUGAAAUUCAAAAACAGACAAGGUAAAAUAAAUGAAUAUGAUGGAGACUCUGAGUGUUGCAGAUCGUGGAAUGGAAUGCAGCUCACCAUAAAGUCCGCUUAACAGUUGCGCCUAUGUGCCAGAAUGACCACUAAAUGAAUCUGUCAGAAUCUGCACAAUUAGUACAGAAUUAUAGCAUGAGUACGUAAAUAAAUGCAUACCCAGUAAGUAUCUAGUCCGACCCCGAAAAAGUAGCGACGAGGGAUCGACAUCGACACUUGCUAUUGGUCCAAUAAAAUCAAGUAUAAUAACACAAGUUGACAGGUAUGAAACAUGGCAAGUAAGAAUAGUGAAAACAGAUAUAAGUACAUAAUACGAUCCUCCACUGAAUAGCAAACACAAAGUCCUCAAAUAUCGGAUACUACCUCGCACUACUAGAAAAAUAUUAAUUUGCGAUCAAAAUUUUCGAUUGAUAUUGACCAAUAAAAAGUCAAUAAUAAUAGUUGACCAAUUAAGCGACUGCUUCGGUCGCAAAAUAAAAAUUAAAAUGGUAAAAGAAUAUUUUAGAGGUUUUUGUGACCGCGAUUGUAUUUUAAUGGUGAGAAAGGUAAAUCUAAUAUUUUAGGCCAAAACCCUAUUUCGGCCAUAUUUCCCCAAUUUCCUCUAUCUCUAUCUCUUUAUCAAUAUUUGUUUUUUCUUCUGCAAUUUCUCUUCCAUUCAACCAUUAUUGUUGUUGACGGAGGCAAACGGCGGAUGGCAAUUUUCGGCUAACGGCAUAAAUUUUAAGCCUAUUCUUCGACUCUUGAAGACCAAUUCCGCUCCAAUUUCUCUUCCACUCCUCUUUUCGGUUUGUUUCUGUCUCUGUCUCACUUUUUAUUUCCUAGAUAUUUUUUAUUUUAAGCAUUAUCCUAAACUGAAAAAGACAUCUUAUAGAUGAAAGGAGAACGAAUUUCCUCAUGCAGUAGUGAAAAUUUAUCCUUUUAAUAGCUCAAAUAACAAAAUAGGUUUCAAUAGCUUGAGAGAUCCGGAAUUUGUUCGUUUCUAUAGCUAUAUUUUUCAACACCUAUAAAGAAAAGUAAAUAUUAUACAUAUACUCCUUUGGUCUAAAGGUUUUGGCGUGAUAGCAGACCUUGAAAUUCGAACGGAGGAAUUGCACACUUUCUCUUUAAGAAACUGAAAACCAAAUUAAACCUCGUUAGUGUAAAUGUUUUGCUUAUAUUUCCGUUCAGUUCUGUUAAGAGGAGGCUUUGAACUUUUAUACAUUUUAAUUGAAAGGAUGAGGAAUUGUGGGGAAUUAAGGGGUUGAAUAUGGGAAAGGGAUCAAUUAUGGGGAAGUUGUAAUAAAUAUUUGCAUUGAUAUUCAGAGAGAUUUUUCUGAGAGCCUUAAAAGCAAUGAACUAGUUGAUCAACUAAGAAAAUUGUGAUGUAAUUUGCCUCUUUAACUUUGAGGUAGAGCCAAUAACUAAUCUACAGAAGAAUUGUAGACCGCAAACCUAGAUUAGAGUUUAUUGGUUUGAGACUUAAGAUUAAAAUUUUUUAACUCUGGUUCUUUUUCACUGCAAUAAUUUGAAUAGUUCUUUCUCAAUCUUGCUUCACUUAUCUAUUUGUUUGUUUAUUCUUUUUGGAUGGGCUGACAAAUUUUUUGAAUAUUCUAGGAUGGCCACAAAAUAUAUUUUUGCCAUUGAAAGAAUCAAGUUUUUUAUAGCAAACUGUUUGGCAUAAUACUAAGUAAUAUAUAUUGUUUUAAAAAUCUUGGAUUUAUUUCGUGUAGAUGGAGCUUUCACAUCGUAGAUGGAUAUAUAGUCUGACUUAUCCUAAUCAUAGUGGGUCGAGGGAGGAAUUUAUAGAAGGGGUUGCUGAAUUUAUGGCUAAAGCGAAAACACUUCAUAAAUUUCUCAGUGAAGGGGUGCUUAGGUGCCAUUGUGUGAACUGCAAGUGUGAAAAGUUAUUGCAACCAGAUAUUGUUAAAAUUCAUCUUUAUAAAAAAGGGUUUAUGAAAAAUUAUUACGUGUGGACUAUUCAUGGAGAGGAUGGUGCUAGUGUUGGUGAUGUCGAUUUUCAAAAUUGUUUUGGUAGUGAGGGUAGUCCUUUAGCACAGAAUAAUGAUGAAAAUUCUAGAUUCAAUGAAAUGGUUAGGGAUGCUUUUGUGAUGCACCUGGGGGCUCAGUCUGAACCAAAUGAUGAUGCUGAGCGCUUCUAUGAAUAGUUAUAGGAAGCUAGUCGUCCAUUGUAUAAUAGCUCAAUGCAUUCUUAGUUGUCUGUUGCGGUUCGAUUAUUAAGUAUUAAAUUGGAUUCGAGUAUUUUUAAAGCGGGCAUGGACUCUAUCAUUGGCCUUAUGAAUGAACUUAGUCCAAAUAAAAUUGACCUACCCAAAGAUUUCUACACAGGAAAGAAAUUGGUUUCUAAGCUAGGACUUUCAUCAGAGAGGAUUGAACUAUUGUGAGAAAGGUUGCAUGUUAUUCUAUAAGGAUGAUGCAGCUUUAGAAAAUUAUAAAUUUUGUAACCAACCUCGUUACAAGGAAGUCACAAAUUCCAAAAAAAGAAUAAGGUUCCAGGUGAUGCAUUACUUACCCCUUAUACCUAGGUUUAAGAGGUUGUAUGCAUCAAUGAGCUCUGCUCCUCAUAUGAGAUGACACUGUUAAAAUAGACGGCCACCUGGUAUUUUAUGUCAUCAAUCAGAUAGAGAAGCAUGGAAGCAUUUUGAUAAGGUAUUUUCGGAUUUUGCUAAUGAAACAAGAAACAUUAGCUUGGGUUUAUGUGCAGAUGGAUUCACUCCAUUUUUUAUCUAUGUUGCACCAUAUUCAUGUUGGCCGGUGGUUGUUACGCCGCAUAAUCUUCCUUCUGAGUUGUAUAUGACAAGUCCAUAAUUGUUCCUAACCUGUAUUAUUCGAGGUCUAGGCAAUCCGAAAAGUUCGAUUGAUGUAUACAUUCAACCUUUAAUGCAUGAGUUAAAGUCAUUGUGGCAUGAGGGUGUGGAAACAUAUGAUAUAUUAACUAAACAAAACUUCAGAUUGCGUGCUACUUUGAUGUGGGCUAUAAAUUAUUUUUCUGCUUAUUGAAUAUUGUCCGAGUGGUCGACUGCAGGAAAGUUAGUUUGCCCAACUUGUAUGGAAGACACAAAAGCAUUCAUAUUGAAACAUGGAAGAAAGAACACAUGAUUUGAUUGCCAUCGUCGAUUAUUGCAUAGGGAUCACGAGUUUAGGAGAAAUACUAGUGCCUUUAUGAAGAACCAAACUGAUUUUGAAUAGCCACCAUCAACAUUGUCGCCAAAAGAAAUUUGGAACAAAGUUAGGUUUCUACCUAAGAUAACAGAGUCUCCUAUAUCUUAUAAGAUACCUAGUUAUGGUGUUACGCAUAAUUGGACCAAAUAGAGCAUAUUCUGGAAGUUACCAUAUUGGAAGCAUAACAUUCUUUUGCAUAAUCUGGAUGUCAUGCAUAUCGAGAAAAACUUUUUUGACAACAUAUUUAAUACCGUAAUGGAUGUUAAUAACAAGACAAAAGAUAACUUGAAGGCUAGGAUGGACUUAAAGGAAUAUUGUAGGCGAAGUGAGUUGUACCUGACAUACUUGAACAACAAGAUUCAGAAGCCCAAGGCCAGUUACACAUUCACUUUGGAUGAGAGAAUAGAUAUUUGUGAUUGGGUUAAGAAUUUAAGUAUGCCUGAUGGAUAUGCGUCAAACUUAUCUAGGUUUGUUGACAUGAAAGAAGGGAAGUUGACGUCUAUGAAGAGCAAGCGAUUGUCACAUUUUCCUUGAAUCAUUGAUUCCUAUUGCAUUCAAAGCAUUGCAUGAUAGAAUAUGGAAACCCAUUACUGAGAUAAGUUUAUUUUUCAAGGAGUUGUGUUCCAGCACAUUGAAGGUGGAGAACUUAGCUUAAAUGGAGAGUAACAUUUGCUUAACUUUAAACAAGCUGGAAAAAAAAAAUUCUCUUGAUUUUUUUGAUGUAAUGGAACAUCUUCCAAUUCAUCUUGCGCAAGAGGCACGACUUGGAUGGCUCGUUCAGUGUAGAUGGAUGUAUCCUUACGAAAGGUAAUGAUUUUAAAUUAUUUUCCCUUGAUGUGUUUUAAUUAAACGUUAUUUCAUCUAAAAAUUGUGAUAUGCAGGACUAUUGGAAAAUAUAAGUAGACCAUGAAAAAUAGAUCCAGGAUUGAUGGAUCGAUAUGCAAGGCACAUCUAGCUAAAGAAAUUUUUUUUUACUGUUCAUAUUAUUUUUAACAUGAUGUGACAUGUUUUAGAAAUAGGCCAAAUCGACAUGAUGAUGGAGGUGUUACUUAUCCUUUUGCACCACCAUUUUUCAAAUUCAAUCUACCAGGUAGAGGUCCAAAAACUAGUAAAAAGCAAAAUUCGACAUAGAUGGAGAAAAAGUCCGCUACAACACAUGUCUUGUUGAAUUGUCCAUGUUACACCCAAUAUUUUCGUACGUGAGAGUACAUCAUAAGUCAAUUGAUGUAAGCUCAUAAAUGAGAUCAUCUUUGAAAGUACAUAAAGUAAGUUAAUAAAGUAAGUUAAUCAUGUUAUCUUGGAGGUUACAAAUCUUUAAGAUCUUGGAUAACAACUACCAAGUGGGUUGAAAGGCUUAGGAGCUAAGCAAAUUGAAGAAAAUAAGUUUCGUCGAAUGUCAACAAGUUAGGAAUGUUAUAACAUGUACUUUUGGGGUGAUACUAGGGUUCUUAACAUGAUAAGGAGGUUAUGUUAUGAGCUAUUUUAGUCGUAUGAUAGUCGUGUAUUACAUUUUGAAGUCAAGCGAGUUUUGGAACGAAAGUUGGCAAAAAGUCAUCACAAGUUACAUUCAUAAUGUGUUGAAUAUUAGGUCAAAUGCAGCAGAGUUUUUCUCCUAAUAUAUUUCGAAUUACAGGAUGACCCACAUAUCAAAUUGAAGAUCUACAAGUCUAUUUUCUAACUCAUUAAACCAUUUUUCGAUACAACAUUGGAGCAGAGAAAUAUUUGUAGUUUUGCGAGACUGCGCAGACUGCAUAGGUGACAAGUAGGUCGGUCACUAAAGCUUUUUGAGAAAUACCUUUCGUGUGUUAUGUGAGGUCUUUUUGGGACAUAUUAUAUACCAAAUUGAAGGUCUUGGAAUGUAGUUUCCAACUCUUUUAACCGUUCAUUCAUACUACAUACGAAUAAAAUGAUAUAAGUGUUGGAAGAAAGGCUAAUGCUAGGGUGCCAAGUAGCACCUUUUUGACUUUUCAACAAAUUGGAAAUUUAUAUCCCUUAUGUCGUCUCUUUCUUAAUAUUUCCAGAGAAAAUGACCAAAUAAGACCCAUAAACUUACCCUUAAGCUCUCUAUAAGGGUUUCAAAGAAGAUUAACAUCCCGGGUACGAAAUCAAAAGGCGAUGACAUUAGAACGAUCCCUACGACGUAAGUAUCUCUAUAUCGCCUCUCUGUUUCUUUGUAGUUUGAGUUUUGGAAGGUAUUUAAUAGUUAAUAAAAUACCUACUUUCUGUAUUUAAGAUUUUAAAUAUCAAGAAAGGUUGAUAAAUUCGUUUCCUAAUAGAUAGAACUCACGGGACGGUGAUCGAAAGCUGUGAGUUCGAGUUAUUCGACUUGUAGUGGACUGUUUUGUGGGAUGUUUCGUGUUGUUAUUGGGCUGUAUAUUUUGCUACUUUUUAAUGAAGUUUUUGAAGAGAAAUUGUGUGGAGAAACACCACAUAAUGGCGAAAUAGUGGAUUAGUCGCUCUUUGCAACUUUUUCGGGGUGUUUGACACUACUAUAGUUGUCGUCUUGGGAAUGAAGUGAUUGGGUGUGUUGGGCUGUUGUAUGCUAAAUAUAACAUGGAUUUCUACUUGAAUCCACGGUAGGUGGAAAUUAUAUUGUGUUCUUGCAUGUUCUUAAGGUUAUCUUGAUGUUAAUUAAGUUAAAUAGAUGGGCUAGGCAUGGACUAGUGAAUAAAGUUGCUAAUUGAGGUUAGUUAGAGUUAUGGAUUAUUUUAUUCAUAAUAUAUAUAUGGUAUAAGACUGGAAUCAUUGAUGAAUGACUUCAUUAUCAUGUUAAUGAUACUUCCUAAGUCAAAUUAAGAAGUCUAUAAGGGGUGAUAUGGGGUAUACAGGUUUCAAUCGGAGCUUGCCGCUCGUCGUGAAGUAGUUGGGACUUGUUAUUGUUAUAUGGUGUCUUGUUAUUGAUAAUUAUGUAUUGCUGGAUUGCUAUAGUAAUUGUUGUUGGUAUAUGGUAUUGGAGGAGUCUCUUGUUACAGGGGAGAUGCUGUCCAAAUUUACAUAAAUGAGUUACUAGUUUAAGUAACUGACUUAACCUUUACUCCGCACACUGAUUUUGAAUCUCCUUAUGCUAUGGUAGAUUGAGUUGAGUUGUUUGAAGAAUUGCUUGUAAGGUAUUAAGGACUCAAUAGAGCUAAGGUUUGUUAAGGCUAUCCCUUCUUUCCUUUUGGCUUGAUCCAUAUGAUGCAACGAAACGAGCAAGCACGCAACUUUCACAAAUGAUUCUAUUCUUAGAAGUACUAGGGGUGCCUAUGUUCUUGAUUCCCCAUGUGUCCUACUAUUCUAUCGUCUGUUCAUGGGUCUCAAAAAAUACGUAAGUUGAUAAAGUUUAUUUCAUGAUAUUUACCGAAGGCAUAUUGAUCUCAUGAUAUUCCGGGAGAUCUUAUUGACUUACUUUAUUAUGCAUUGCAUUCAUUUAUACAUGUAUAUUGACCCAUGAUCAGAUGGUGUUAUAUACGCCUAUAGUAUAUGUAUAUGGGGUAUGGGGAAAGGUUAUGGCGUUAUAUACACACCACCACCUGAUCAACUAGUCUACGUUAAUUAUUUCUCCCACAGAGGCCUAGAUGAUAUGAUGGGGUGCCCUCAGGGGUUAUGUACGUACAUACCUAUGCAUGAUGUGACAUUUAUAUGCAUAUGCAUGACUUUAUAAAUGUUUCAUGAUUCACAGAGCUAUUCAGACUUACAGGUUGAGUUAUUUACUCUGUGUUUCUUUCAUGUCUUUUAUAUACUGCUUUCAUGCCUUACAUACUUGGUACUUUAUUUGUACUGACGUAUCUUUUGCCUGGGGACACUGCGUUUCAUGCCUGCAGGUCCUGAUAGGCAGGUUUAGAGUCCUGCUAGUAGGCUAUCAGCUUAUCGGAAGGUGUUGGUGCACUCCACUUGCUCCGAAGUUACCUAUUUGGUCAGUAUGAUUUGGACAUGUAUUAAUUGGUAUGGCGGGACCCUAUCCCGACCUUUAUGAUAUUUACGUACUCUUAGAGGCUUGUAGACAGAUGUCAUGUUUAUGGAUACUUAUAUGGCCUUGUCGGCCUACGUUUUUUGUGUACAAAUGAUCAUAUCGGCCUUAUAGGCCCGUAUGUCACAUGUAUAAAAUUCUAUAACAUGUUGGGUCAUCCUAUGUCUAGUAUUCCCUUAUGUUUUAUUCUGGUUAUCUCAUGACGUCACUUCUGACCCAUUUACCCAUGAUGGUAUGAUGAGGAGAUAUGUUACAUUGGUGCUCGGUUAGGUAAGGCACUGGGUGCCCGUCGCGGCCUAUCGAUUUGGGUCGUGACAGUUCAGAGAUCCAACCCUAUUAUAAGUAAGUCUUAAUUUAUAUUAAAGACGAUUAUCACAAGAUCAAGGUUAUUUUAACUAAUGAAAGUUGUAAUUUUGUCGGGCGGUUACUUUAUAGGUGUAAAUGUGCCUGAUGCUAUUUAUCCAUGAUUUUCAGAGUGGUUUAAGGAGUUUCUAAGUUUUAUUUUGUGGCUUCAAAUUAAGUACAUGUAUAUUUCAAAUUCUAUCUUUUAUUUAACUCUAUAUAGGUUGAUAAUCGAAUCAAUGGCAUAAAUAACCCAUUUUUGCGUGAUAUAUCUUGGGGACAUGACCAUAAAGUCAAAAUGAUGUCUAAGAACUUUGUCAAUGGGUACAAGUUUCAUAAAGAAGA
rnacentral:lncRNA from 1 species